rnacentral:lncRNA from 1 species
AAGAAAAAAAAAAAAAGAAAAAAGAGACUUUCCUGUUUGUCACCCCCAAGCAAAGGUGUGACACAAACAUGAUCACAGGACUAGGGAUGAAAGGGAAUCCAUCUGCCCAAAGAAGCUGAGUCUCCAGAUAGUAGCCCUAGUACCAAAAGUGAUAAAACUCAGGCACAUGGUUCCAUUAGGGGCAGCAUUCUGAGAGGUUAGGAGCUAGAGGGGGGGCAGGGAGAAGGAAGCCAGACUAGAAGAGAGAAUGCCAACAGUGUCAUGGAAACCAAAGAACAAGUGAGAACCUGGGAGAAAGUACUUGGCCAUGAGACAUGCCUGCUGAAUAAUCCCAGACACAUGCCAAAUGGAAAACACUUCCACCUUGCAAUUAAGAAAUGAAAGCUGAAAUGCCUUCACCUGUUCUUGUAUGACUCACCAAAUACUUGUGAAGAAACUGGAGAUUAAUGUCUUACUCAGAUCCAUCCUACAAUGAAGUCAUAAAUAAUAGCAAAUUUGUAACAUCACAUUAAUUUCCAUGGCGACAGGCUUACUGCGCAAACAGAGGAUUAUGACUUCAUGAGAGAAUCAAACAGAGUGGGUUGCAAGGAAGAAAGCUCAUUUUCAAACUCAUAUAAUCUACAGUAAUUGUACUGGGAAUACAGGCAAAGCCUAGCAAAGCAAAUUGCUUUUCAGAGAAAUAUUUUGUUUUUUUUCAAGUUUGUUCCACGAUGGAAAUCUUUCUCUAAAUUGCAUAGAAUGUGUGACAUAGGCAAUUCUAAUACAUGGCCAAUGUGCAAUAAGCAAUCUGCGAUAUAAAGGUUUGAAUUGGGACUAACAGCGUUGAGAAACACUAUGCAUCCGGAAUGGCACUAUGUAUGACUAAAGAAACACAAAACACAGAACUGCUACUGAUGUGUUCACUGCCCAACCAUCUAACAGUUAUAAAGUAAUCAGAUUCUUCAUCUUUCCUUACCCACUUUACUUUCUCUCAAACACAAUUUAAAGAAAGUGUACUUCCUUUUUUUUUGGAUUCACGUCCAUUUUGGAGAAGUUUCAAUACUCAUACCUAAAUAUCAUCUUGGGGGUUAUUCACAUGCAAAUUAUUCUAAAAGAUUUCUCCAACUAUUCUUUUUCUCCAACUGGUAUUCUUUCUUGUAAUCCUUUUUCCUCAAUGAAAGAAAAAUCCUACUUCACAGCAAGCCUG